GUAGGUGGCAAGCGUUGUCCGGAAUUAUUGGGCGUAAAGCGCGCGCAGGCGGUUCUUUAAGUCUGAUGUGGAAGCCCACGGCUCAACCGUGGAGGGUCAUUGGAAACUGGAGAACUUGAGUACAGAAGAGGAAAGCGGAAUUCCACGUGUAGCGGUGAAAUGCGUAGAGAUGUGGAGGAACACCAGUGGCGAAGGCGGCUUUCUGGUCUGUAACUGACGCUGAGGCGCGAAAGCGUGGGGAGCAAACAGGAUUAGAUACCCUGGUAGUCCACGCCGUAAACGAUGAGUGCUAAGUGUUAGGGGGGUUUUCCGCCCCCCUUAGUGCUGCAGCUAACGCAUUAAGCACUCCGCCUGGGAGUACGGCCGCAAGGCUG
rnacentral:rRNA from 1 species